UACGAAGGGGGCUAACGUUGUUCGGAAUUACUGGGCGUAAAGCGCACGUAGGCGGAUUGUUAAGUUAGGGGUGAAAUCCCAGGGCUCAACCCUGGAACUGCCUUUAAUACUGGCAAUCUCGAGUCCGAGAGAGGUGAGUGGAAUUCCGAGUGUAGAGGUGAAAUUCGUAGAUAUUCGGAGGAACACCAGUGGCGAAGGCGGCUCACUGGCUCGGUACUGACGCUGAGGUGCGAAAGCGUGGGGAGCAAACAGG
rnacentral:rRNA from 1 species